rnacentral:rRNA from 1 species
UACGGGGGGAGCAAGCGUUGUUCGGAUUUCCUGGGCGUAAAGGGCGCGUAGGCGGUCGUGACAAGUCACUUGUGAAAUCUCCGGGCUUAACUCGGAACGGUCAAGUGAUACUGUCGGACUAGAGUACAGAAGGGGCAACUGGAAUUCUCGGUGUAGCGGUGAAAUGCGUAGAUAUCGAGAGGAACACCUGCGGCGAAGGCGGGUUGCUGGGCUGAUACUGACGCUGAGGCGCGAAAGCCAGGGGAGCGAACGGG